UAAAUCUCAAAGUGCACAAAAUACUGCUCAUUUGGGUAAUCCAAUUUGCAAGGUGACAAUGAUGAAAACAAAUCUAUCCCAUGAACAUCUGGCUAAAGGAUCCAACCAUGCUCCUCUAGUGAAAGCUAAUAUGAUCCAUCUCUAUCUCGACAAAUCCAUGUAGGGAGGUCCUAAUAUAAUCAAUUGCCGAAAGCUCCAAACUAAUCUCAAUCUAAAACCAUGCUGGC
rnacentral:lncRNA from 1 species